ensembl:lncRNA
UUUUUUUUUUUUUUUCUUUUUUGCCUUUUGCCUUUUGUCCUAUCAGGGCCGCAUCCACGGCAUAUGGAGGUUCCCAGGCUAAGGGUCUAAUAGGAGCUGUAGCUACCGGCCAACGUCACAGCCACAGCAACGCCAGAUCCAAGCCAUGUCUGCGACCUACACCACAGCUCACGGCAACGCCAGAUCCGAUCCUUAACCCACUGAGCAAGGCCAAGGAUCGAACCCGGAACCUCAAGGUUCCUAGUCGGAUUUGUUUCCGCUGUGCCACAACAGGAAUUCCUCGCCCAAUUUUUAAAUGUAGACAACUUACUGAAGUGUUCCUUUUUGUUUUUUGUUGUUGUUGUUUCCCCAAAAAACACUGCGUGGGCCAAACAAAACAGAUCGACAGACUGGACUUGGCCCACGGGUCUGCAAUGGUAACCUCCGCUCAGCGGGCUCCCUGCUUGCCUUCGAGUCAGGCGGGUCCUGCAGGCAGCACAAACCACCAGCCGGGACUGGAGAUCACCCCACUUCGAGUGCCAGCUUCCAGCCCAUGAACCUCUUAAUGGGAAAUAAAUGUUUAAAUCAACUCCCAACCGACACCCACACCAAAAGGACAGAAACUACUAAUUCCUACCCACCACAUCCAAGUCGCCAGUUUUACUUCACAGGAAGGGGAAAAAAAUAAAAAGGAUCUAUUAAAAAAAGAAGAGGAAGAAGAAAGAAAAAAGAAAACCAACAAAGGCAAACUGGGAAACGCACUGCUGCUGACUUGCCGUCAGAGGGGAGCAGCUCAGCCCUGGGCCCGUCCCAGACAUGAAAAUUACAGAGCAGCGUCGCAGACAUACCCCUGCCCUCUGUGUCACUCACGCAGGAGGAAUGCGACGCGACAACCUCCCCCGGGACCAGGAGCAGGGCUGACCUCAGAGAGGGGUGUGGGCACAGGGCCCGAGGCUGAGCGGCGGGGGGCUAGGGCUCCCACACUUGUGCCCACUGCACAGAUCAGGACACUGAGGCAGGCGGCGGAGAUGAGGUACAAAGCCUGGUCCAUCGGACUCGGGGGUAAUGGCUGUCCUCACGCCCUCAGGACCAGCGAUUUGGCAGGCCCUGGGCAGCCACCGCUCUGCGGCCGAGCCUGAGGCAGGCCUAAAGGGACAAGGGCAGAACAGGACAUGUGGUCUGCCCUGACCCUUCUCUUGCCAACUCCAGGAAGAGGACAUGAGACCGCGUCACAUCCCUGCUCCCCCAGGCCCUGGGCAUAAAAUCCAAGCUCCCUGUGGAGGCCAUGGCAGCUGGGACGGCCCCCGCCUGCCCCGCAGUGUUCCACCUCAGGGCCUUUGCACUGGCUGCACCCAACCCUGAACCGUUCCUCCCCCCCCGCCCAUAGGACUGGCUCCACAGUCAGGGCUGCCUCCCCCUGUCUAGAGCAAGCUUCCACCUGCCUCUCUCUCCCCCGUCCCAUGUCUGUCCUUGCACUUGCCACCUCCGUGGGGACCUUGGCAAGUGCUGACUGUAGGCUGUCGGCCCCCGGCCCCCGGCCCCCAUGAACUCUAAGCUUACUGAGAGCAGAGGCCGUGUCGGAAUGGCCUAGAACAGUGCGUGGCACAGAGCUGCCAGCCAGCAGCACUGAAUGGGCGGCAGAGUCACUACCGACGCGUCACUAGGAGAACCACAGGCUGGAUGGGCCAAACCCUCCACCGGAGGCAAGGCGAGUGUCGGCCCCAACACAGGACAGCUCGUCUGAACAGAGCCCGCUGGGUCCCAGGCCCUGUCCUGGGCCCACUUAGGCUCCUUCACUGCAUCCUGACCAUCGUCCCAGGUCAGCACAUCACUACUCUCUCAUCUGGGAGGUGAGGACACUGCAGAGGUUACACAACUCACGCCAACACACACACACCCUGGACAUUUGAACACAAGGAGCAAAACGCCAGAGAGCCUCUGAAGAUGUGUGUGCGUGUGUGUGUGUGUGUGUGUGUAUGUUCAUGGCACUGUGUGUGUGUGUGCGUGUCUGCAUGCGUGCAUCUGUGUGCACCGCCGCAGGUGUGUCUUCUGUGCAUCUGUGCCUGUAUAUGCCUGUGUGUGUGUGUGUAUGUGUGUGUGCGUUCCCCUCGCCUCCUCAAGAUGGGCUAGCUUUGUACUGAUCUUACGAGUCUCGGGGCCACAGACAAGAAACACCACCAACAAGUUAGGAGUCGGGUUUAUUCACAAACUAGUAGUUUCAACUUUGUGAAACUGAUAUUUAGUCAUUUUCGACUCACAGACUUGCAGUUCCCCCAACUGGUUCCCCCAAGUCUAACCCAAGAACCACCUUUGGGUGGUGUCUCACAGGCAGGCAGGGCCCGAGGGGAGGAACCUGGACCGGGGUCCCGGGGGGCCACCCGUCACUGCCGAUCCGGCCUGGCUUAGCUUAAGCACUUUCUCCAGACACAGCAAGGGGGAAAGCAAGCUGCUGUGAGGUGAAACUUCUGAAAUGCCAUCUCUGCGACCUGUGCAGAUGCCAUAGCGCAGAGGACAGAAACACCAGGCAGAGGGCUAGAAACAUGGCCCCUCCGCCAGCAGCCUGCAUGUGCAAAGAAAGCUCCAAACUCAGGCUGCCUCUCGAACCCGAACCUGCCCUUCACCGUGUGGCAUCCCAGGGGCCCUGAUGGGGCCUUGUCCAACCGUGGAGAGCAGGGAGCAGAAGCUGGAGGCCGCUUUAUUCAUUGAAGCGUCUCAACAUCUUUGUUGCUGUUUUUGUUUAAUUCUCUUCAAACUGAAACUGUCAAAAGUCGUGCCUGAUAAAUCUGAAGGCUGUAGAGGAAGUGGUUUGUCCUUCCUCCGAUCAUGACUUCUGCAAAAGAUAACACACAGCUCUGGGUGAAACGUCAGGCGAGCCAGGGCCCCCCCCAUGGGGCUGGAGCCACUGGAGGGGUCAAGGUGCAAGUUCCUCCGGUUCCCAGCCCCCCAGUGUCGGCUGCUCCACGAGGCAGAAGGGGCCAAAGAAAGCCCUCCUCUCCCCCACCCCCCCCAAGACUUUCAGGAAACUUGAUUCAGCCUGGAACCUCCUCCACCUGGCGGCUCUUACACGCCCACAGCAGCCUGGGAGGAGAGCGCCAACAUCCCAUUUUCCAGAUGAGACGACGAAGGGGGUUAGAAGGUAAAUAACACGCUCAAUUUUAUCUCAGUAACCGGCCCAGCGUCCCACGCAGCCAGAGCCUGACCAGCAGAGCUGGCUCCAAAGCUCCUGGGAGGCCGUCUCCGGCCCUGCCCCUCCCAGGCUCAGGCGUCAGGCCCCCUCCUCUGUAGCCAUGGGAACAGCAGAUGUCAUCACAGUACCAGCAAGAUCGGGCUCUCUUUUUCUCAGGCACCGUCCCUGUCAGGCAUGGCACAAACACUGGACCUGUACUGUUCUCACCAAAUCCUCUCCGAAGCCCAGAGGACUGGUACCACUAUUCACCCCACUGUGCCAAUGACAAAGAAAGAAAAGCUCAGAGACGUUAAGCCACUUGCCCAAGGUCACAGAGCUGGCAAGUGGCAGAACCCAGGUUGGAACUCCCAAUGUGCUGCUCUGAUCAGUAGCCCAGGGGUUCCUUUUGCUGCAGAAGACCGAGGCCAGCCUUUCAAAGACCAGACAGUUCUCUCCAUUAUUUUGAGUCUAGAUGCUUCUGGCCCAGACGAACCUCAAGGGCUGGCCCUCUUUGAGUCCACUGACACCAAAGGUUGGGGGAGAGAGGCCAUUUCCUCGUUGGCAAUGAACUGGGCCCCACCCUCGUCACAGCAUGGCCCUUCCCAGGUUCUCGGGCCUAAGGAUGUCCACGUCAGGGCAAAGAACAAGGUCCCUUCAAGGCCGAGCUGGAAGGAACAAGACGUUCAGGGCCAUUCCAGGUACUGGGCUUCCAUGUUCAAGUCCAAAGGCCUGAGCCCAGCACGCAGGACAGCUCAUCCGGGCCCAUCCCACUCAACGCACUCCUGGCACAAGAAGCGUCUCCCUCUCCAGGCUGUGCUGGCCCUGAGGCGUCUUCCG